rnacentral:rRNA from 1 species
GAUGAACGCUGGCGGCGUGCCUAAUACAUGCAAGUCGAGCGAACGGACGAGAAGCUUGCUUCUCUGAUGUUAGCGGCGGACGGGUGAGUAACACGUGGAUAACCUACCUAUAAGACUGGGAUAACUUCGGGAAACCGUAGCUAGUACCGGAUAAUAUUUUGAACCGCAUGGUUCAAAAGUGAAAGACGGUCUUGCUGUCACUUAUAGAUGGAUCCGCGCUGCAUUAGCUAGUUGGUAAGGUAACGGCUUACCAAGGCAACGAUGCAUAGCCGACCUGAGAGGGUGAUCGGCCACACUGGAACUGAGACACGGUCCAGACUCCUACGGGAGGCAGCAGUAGGGAAUCUUCCGCAAAGGGCGAAAGCCUGACGGAGCAACGCCGCGUGAGUGAUGAAGGUCUUCGGAUCGUAAAACUCUGUUAUUAGGGAAGAACAUAUGUGUAAGUAACUGUGCACAUCUUGACGGUACCUAAUCAGAAAGCCACGGCUAACUACGUG